GCUUUAGAAGCAAAAAUUGCGUCGAUUUUGUAAUUCGGAGGUUGGUUCAAUAGAAUCCAAAGCC
rnacentral:tRNA from 1 species